CUUCCGGAUCGUGGGGUGAUCGGCGACAUCGCUCAUUUUUGAGAGAGCGCCAAUGCGCACGCUCGCCGGACCAGCUUCGAUGGUAUCGAGUCCGCGCACGCGCGUAAUGUCGAUGAGCGCUGAAGGAACCUCUACCCCGCAUUUCAUGAGGUCGACCAUGGUCGUGCCGCCAGCGAGGAAGCGGGAACCAGCCUGACGGGCAAUGGCCCCCAGCGCGUCGGGAAUGGCGGUGGCCCGAACAUAUUCGAAAUUGUUCAUCGUG
rnacentral:misc_RNA from 1 species